AAGAAAGUAAGAAAGGGCGUAUGGCGGAUGCCUAGGCUCACAGAGGCGAUGAAGGACGUGAUAAGCUGCGAUAAGCCCCGGGUAGAUGCAAAUAAUCUCUGAUCCGGGGAUUUCCGAAUGGGACAACCCGGCCGUCUGAAGGACGGUCACCCACGCUGAGCGUGGGAGCUAACGCAGGGAACUGAAACAUCUUAGUACCUGCAGGAAAAGAAAAUAAACAAUGAUUCCCCCAGUAGUGGCGAGCGAACGGGGAAGAGCCCAAACCGUGACUGUGGCAACGCAGCUGCGGGGUAGUAGGACCGCGACAUUGUAUGAAUCGAGUGAAAAGAAUCUUCUGGAAAGAAGAACCACAGAGGGUGAAAGUCCUGUAUUUGAAACAAGAUUCAAUAUAGCGGUAUCCUGAGUAACGCGGAACACGAGUAAUUCUGCGCGAAUCCGCCGGGACCAUCCGGUAAGGCUAAAUACUCCUGUGAGACCGAUAGUGAACCAGUACCGUGAGGGAAAGGUGAAAAGCACUUCGACAAGAAGAGUGAAACAGUUCCUGAAACCAUACGCCUACAAGCGGUCGGAGCCGGUAUAUCCGGUGACGGCGUGCCUUUUGCAUAAUGAACCUACGAGUUACCAUCUCUGGCAAGGUUAAGAGUAAUGAUGCUCCCAGCCGCAGUGAAAGCGAGCCUGAACAGGGCGUUUAAGUCAGAGGGGGUAGACGCGAAACCAAGUGAUCUACACUUGACCAGGUUGAAGUUCCGGUAACACGGAAUGGAGGACCGCACCGAUAAGCGUUGAAAAGCUUCCGGAUGAGUUGAGUGUAGGAGUGAAAGGCCAAUCAAACUUGGAGAUAGCUCGUACUCCCCGAAAGGCAUUUAGGUGCCGCGUGUGGCGAUCUCCGUGAGAGGUAGAGCGACCGAUAGGUCAAGAGGGCUUCACCGCCUAUCGAGACCUGACGAACUCCGAAUGCUCACGGACUGCAGCCAUGCAGUAAGGGGGCGGGUGCUAAGGUCCGUCCCCGAGAGGAGAAGAAUCCAGACCGCCGUCUAAGGCCCCGAAAUUCUGUCUGAGUUAGUCUAACGAAGUCCGGUCCCCAUGACAGCUAGGAUGUUGGCUUGGAAGCAGCCAUUCAUUCAAAGAGUGCGUAACAGCUCACUAGUCGAGGGUCCGGGCAUGGAUAAUAAUCGGGUAUAAGUCAGAUGCCGAAGGCGCGGGAUAGCAAUGUAUAUUGAAAGUAUCGGUAGGGGAGCAUACCAUGUGCGCAGAAUGGUGAAGAUGACUGAUCCUGGAGCGCAUGGUAAAGCAAAUGUAGGUAUAAGUAACGACAAGAGGGGUAAGAUUCCCCUCCGCCGUAAGUCUAAGGUUUCCCGGGCAAUGCCAAUCAUCCCGGGGUAAGUCGGGUCCUAAGUCUCAGCCGAAUGGCGAAGGCGAUGGCAGAAACGGUCAACAUUCCGUUACUACCUUCAGGAGCGACGUGGAGACGGAGCAGUGACACUGCCGCGGGGCGACGGAAGUCCCCGUUGAAGAGCGUAGGCGUUGAUCGGAGCAGGCAAAUCCACUCCGAGAGCCGACCUUGACAGUACGGCCUCCCCUUCGGGGGAAGCUGACAGCGCAGGUAACCAUACUCCCGAGAAAAUCCGCUAAGCUUUAUCCUGUGGGUACCCGUACCGCAAUCCGACACAGGUAGACGGGUAGAACAUACUGAGGCGUUGAGAGAUUCAUGGUUAAGGAACUAGGCAAACUGACCCCGUAACUUCGGGAUAAGGGGUCCUCAUAGUAAUAUGAGGCGCAGAGAAUAGGUCCAGGCAACUGUUUAACAAAAACACAGGGCUGUGCAAACUCGAAAGAUGACGUAUACAGCCUGACACCUGCCCGGUGCCGGAAGGUUAAGAGGAGAGCUCAUCCUUUAAGGUGAAGGUUUGAAUUGAAGCCCCGGUAAACGGCGGCCGUAACUAUAACGGUCCUAAGGUAGCGAAAUUCCUUGUCGGGUAAGUUCCGACCUGCACGAAUGGUGUAAUGAUCCGGACGCUGUCUCAACCAUGAUCUCAGUGAAAUUGUAGUAUCGGUGAAGAUGCCGAUUACCCGCGAUGGGACGAAAAGACCCCGUGAACCUUUACUACAGCUUAGCAUUGAUCUCGGUCAUCCGAUGUGUAGGAUAGGCCGGAGGCUUCGAAGCAGUUGCGCCAGCAUCUGUGGAGCCAUCCUUGAAAUACGGCCCUUUGGCUGUCUGAGGUCUAACCCGCGCGAUUGCGGGGACACUGCUUGGUGGGUAGUUUGACUGGGGUGGUCGCCUCCAAAAGCGUAACGGAGGCUUCCAAAGGUGCCCUCGGGCCGAUUGGUAACCGGCCUUACAGAGUGCAAUGGCAUAAGGGCGCUUGACUGGGAGGGAGACAUCCCGAGCAGGCAGGAAACUGGGGCAUAGUGAUCCGGCGGACGUGUAUGGAAACUCCGUCGCUCAAAGGAUAAAAGGUACUCCGGGGAUAACAGGCUGAUCCCCCCCAAGAGCUCAUAUCGACGGGGUGGUUUGGCACCUCGAUGUCGGCUCGUCACAUCCUGGGGCUGGAGAAGGUCCCAAGGGUUGGGCUGUUCGCCCAUUAAAGUGGCACGCGAGCUGGGUUCAGAACGUCGUGAGACAGUUCGGUCUCUAUCUAUCGUGGGCGCAGGAGUUUUGCGUGGUGCCGUCACUAGUACGAGAGGACCGUGACGGACAGACCUCCGGUUUACCGGUUGUGCCGCCAGGUGCACCGCCGGGUAUCUGCGUCUGGACUGGAUAAGCGCUGAAAGCAUCUAAGUGCGAAGCCAGCCGCAAGAUUAGAACUCCAUUGAGGGUCGUUGUAGACGACGACGUUGAUAGGGUGCAGGUGUAAAGACGGCGACGUCAAAGCCGAGCACUACUAAUUGCCCGAGACUUUCUUCU
rfam:Prevotella oris C735 genomic scaffold supercont1.22, whole genome shotgun sequence.